ACGGGAGGCAGCAGUGGGGAAUCUUGCGCAAUGGGCGAAAGCCUGACGCAGCAACGCCGCGUGCGGGAUGAAGGCCUUCGGGUUGUAAACCGCUUUCAGUGGGGACGAAAACAGACGGUACCCACAGAAGAAGCCCCGGCCAACUACGUGCCAGCAGCCGCGGUAACACGUAGGGGGCGAGCGUUGUCCGGAAUCAUUGGGCGUAAAGAGCUCGUAGGCGGCUCAAUAAGUCGGGUGUGAAACCCCCAGGCUCAACCUGGGGACGCCACCCGAUACUGUUGUGGCUAGAGUCCAGUAGGGGAGUGUGGAAUUCCCGGUGUAGCGGUGAAAUGCGCAGAUAUCGGGAGGAACACCAGCGGCGAAGGCGGCACUCUGGGCUGGUACUGACGCUGAGGAGCGAAAGCGUGGGUAGCAAACAGGAUUAGAUACCCUGGUA
rnacentral:rRNA from 1 species